AGGUUCACUCCACCAUGUGAUUAAAAAGGGAAUACGGUGAGAAUCCGAAGCUGUCCCGCAGCUGUGAGUUGCUUCUCUCCCGCCUGCCGACACUAUCAGUGAGAACGCCCUCAUAGGAGUAGCGCGUUCACAAUGCUCACUGACGGGAAGUCGCGCCGGCCUUAAUCCGCAACAAGCCAGAAGACCUGCCAUUGCCAUU
rnacentral:ncRNA from 1 species